rnacentral:rRNA from 1 species
AGUGAACGCUGGCGGUAGGCCUAACACAUGCAAGUCGAACGGCAGCACAGUAAGAGCUUGCUCUUACGGGUGGCGAGAGGCGGACGGGUGAGGAAUACAUCGGAAUCUACUUUUUCGGGGGGGAUAACGUAGGGAAACUUACGCCAUACCGCAUACGACCUACGGGUGGAAGGAGGGGGACAUUUUACCCUGCGGGGUUUGAAGUGGCGACGUAGGAUUGGCUUGGUGGGGGGGUGAAGGCCCACCAAGUCGACGAAUCGUAGCUGAUCUGGGGGGAUGGUCGGCCACACUAGAGCUGGGCCACGGUCCAGACUCCUGCGAGACGCAGCAGUGUGGUAUAUUGGGCAAUAGGCGCAAGCCUGGUCCAGCCGUACCGCGUGGGUGAAGGAGGCCUUCGGGUUGUAAAGCCCUUUUGUUGGGAAAGAACAGCAGCAGGUUGAUACCCCGCUGUUCUGACGGUACCCAAAGAAUAAGCACCGGCUAACUUCGUG